CCUACGGGAGGCUGCAGUGGGGAAUAUUGGACAAUGGGGGGAACCCUGAUCCAGCGACGCCGCGUGAGUGAAGAAGUAUUUCGGUAUGUAAAGCUCUAUCAGCAGGGAAGAAAGAAAUGACGGUACCUGACUAAGAAGCCCCGGCUAACUACGUGCCAGCAGCCGCGGUAAUACGGAGGGGGCAAGCGUUAUCCGGAUUUACUGGGUGUAAAGGGAGCGUAGACGGCGAUGCAAGUCUGAAGUGAAAGGCGGGGGCCCAACCCCCGGACUGCUUUGGAAACUGUAUGGCUGGAGUGCAGGAGAGGUAAGUGGAAUUCCUAGUGUAGCGGUGAAAUGCGUAGAUAGUAGGAGGAACACCAGUGGCGAAGGCGGCUUACUGGACUGUAACUGACGUUGAGGCUCGAAAGCGUGGGGAGCAAACAGGAUUAGAUACCCGAGUAGUC
rnacentral:rRNA from 1 species